rnacentral:rRNA from 1 species
AGUGAACGCUGGCGGUAGGCCUAACACAUGCAAGUCGAACGGCAGCACAGUAAGAGCUUGCUCUUACGGGUGGCGAGUGGCGGACGGGUGAGGAAUACAUCGGAAUCUACUUUUUCGUGGGGGAUAACGUAGGGAAACUUACGCUAAUACCGCAUACGACCUACGGGUGAAAGCAGGGGAUCUUCGGACCUUGCGCGAUUGAAUGAGCCGAUGUCGGAUUAGCUAGUUGGCGGGGUAAAGGCCCACCAAGGCGACGAUCCGUAGCUGGUCUGAGGGGAUGAUCAGCCACACUGGAACUGAGACACGCUCCAGACUCCUACGGGAGGCAGCAGUGGGGAAUAUUGGACAAUGGGCGCAAGCCUGAUCCAGCUAUACCGCGUGGGUGAAGAAGGCCUUCGGGUUGUAAAGCCCUUUUGUUGGGAAAGAAAAGCAGCAGGUUAAUACCCCGCUGUUCUGACGGUACCCAAAGAAUAAGCACCGGCUAACUUCGUG